CAACUACUCCCUCUAUCCCAAAUUUCUUGUCUUAGAUUUGUCAAGAUACGGAUGUAUCUAAUACUAAAAUGUGACUUGAUACAUCCGUAUCUAGACAAAUCUAAGACAAGAAUUUUGGGAUGGAGGGAGUACUUU
rnacentral:pre_miRNA from 1 species